rnacentral:lncRNA from 1 species
CGACCCCAGUAGCGCAUGCUCGACGCUGCCCACACCGUCCAGUGUCGUGCGAGCAAGGAGGCCUGCAUCUGGCCUCGCCUCUCUGCUUCUCUACUCCCCCCGGUCAAGGACCUCUCCCAAUAGCGCCCCUGACUCAGAACCAAGUACCCCAGUGGCCCACGUCGCCCCUCCAGCCAGCUCCGGCGGCCUCGCCCAUGGUGCACCGACCUCAGGGCCAUAAGAUCCACCCCUGGCCCCCCUUUGUGCUCCACUCAUCUCCCCACCUCCCAAUUGCACUCCCCCACUACCCCACCUUCGAUUUUGAGCUUAGUCGCCCGGGAUCGAGCCGGCGUUCUCGCGGUGAGGGACCUCCCCAGGCUCCAUUUUCUCUCCCGUGCUCGUCUCUCAUCCUCUUAACGUGGUCCCCCCUCUCUCCCGU